rnacentral:rRNA from 1 species
AACGAACGCUGGCGGCAGGCUUAACACAUGCAAGUCGAACGCCCCGCAAGGGGAGUGGCAGACGGGUGAGUAACGCGUGGGAAUCUACCCAGUUCUACGGAACAACACAGGGAAACUUGUGCUAAUACCGUAUACGCCCUACGGGGGAAAGAUUUAUCGGAAUUGGAUGAGCCCGCGUUGGAUUAGCUAGUUGGUGGGGUAAUGGCCUACCAAGGCGACGAUCCAUAGCUGGUCUGGGAGGAUGAUCAGCCACACUGGGACUGAGACACGGCCCAGACUCCUACGGGAGGCAGCAGUGGGGAAUAUUGGACAAUGGGCGCAAGCCUGAUCCAGCCAUGCCGCGUGAGUGAUGAAGGCCUUAGGGUUGUAAAGCUCUUUCAGUGGGGACGAUAAUGACGGUACCCACAGAAGAAGCCCCGGCUAACUUCGUGCCAGCCGCCGCAGUAAGAC